rnacentral:rRNA from 1 species
CACGUAGGCACCAAGCGUUGUCCGGAUUUAUUGGGCGUAAAGAGCUCGUAGGCGGUUCGGUAAGUCGGGUGUGAAAACUCUGGGCUCAACCCCAGAGCCGCCACCCGAUACUGCUGUGACUCGAGCUGCGGUAGGGGAGCGGGGGAAUUCCUGGUGUAGGCGGUGAAAUGCGCAGAUAUCAGGAGGAACACCAGUGGCGAAGGCGCCGCUCUGGGCCGUGGCUGACGCUGAGGAGCGAAAGCGUGGGUAGCAAACAGG